CUUACACCACAGCUCACGGCAGCGGUGGAUUCCCAACCCACUGAAGGAGGACAGGGAUUGAACCCGCAUCCUCAUGGAUACUAGUCUGCUUCCAUUGCACCACAGUGGGAAUUCCAAUUAAAAAAAAAAAAAAACAUAUAUUUUUUGCUUGGGUCGGAACAGGCGCUCAAGCGCCAUCUUGAUUCAAUCUCUCUACCAUUAAUUCUUACCUAAUCAUAUAACUGAUUUCUCUUGUUUCUUCUGGUUUUAAAUUUUAUUUUCUCCAAGUUUCAGGCCCAAAAUAAUUUGGUAAAAUGAUUAUUUUAGCUCACGGCAAAGGUCAGCGGGAUCCUUAACCUGCUGAGUGAGGCCAGGGAUCGAACCCACAUCCUCAUGGAUACUAGUCAAGUUCUUAACCCACUGAGCCACAACAGGAACUCCAGUGGAGACUUUUUUUUUUUUUUUUUUUUUUUUUUGUCUUUUUGCCUUUUCUAGGGCCGCUUCCCGCGGCAUAUGGAGGUUCCCAGGCUAGGGGUCGAAUUGGAGCUGUAGCUGCUGGCCUACACCACAGCCACAGCAAUGCGGGAUCUGAGCCUGAGCCGCGUCUUCGACCUACACCACAGCUCAUGGCAACACCAGAUCCUUAACCCACUGAGCAAGGGCAGGGACCGAACCCGCAACCUCAUGGUUCCUAGUCGGAUUCGUUAACCACUGCGCCACAACGGGAACUCCUCCAAAGGAGAUAUUUUUGAAUUGAAAAAAAAAAAAAAAAUAGGAGUUCCAGUCGUGGCCCAGCGGCUCAAGAAAAGGUAAAAAAAAAAAAAAAAAAAAAAAAUGGACUGACUUGUAGACAUCAAUAGAUGUAAUAAUAAUAUUCAUGGAUUAGUUAGAGGCUUCUCUCAGGCCCUGGGAUCUCCCACGUUGAAAGUGCUGGAUGCCUCCUUAUCCUUUUCUUGUUCGCUUUUCCUCUUUUGGCUCCAUCCUUUCCCUUCUCCUUCUUUGGUCCUUUCAAAGUCGAAGUCUCUCCUGCAUCCUUCCCUCAUCCAUCCCUGCCUGUCCCCAGGCUUCUCCCAGUGUGCUUCCCAGAACAUCAGCCUCACAAGGUGGUACCAACAGAAAGGACUCAGGGGUCAAGCACGUUUGAGCAAUGCUCAGUAAUGCAUCAAGCCCUUGGAGGUAGGCUGGCACCUCUGGGAAGUCUGUUCUUCACUGGGGACAGCUCCACACCAUGUUGAAGCAGCCGGUACCCUCGGCGUGCAAGGGUGCUGCUGUGCGCAUCCCCUAGCAGCAUUCUGCAGAACCAGCAUUCGCUGGCUUUGCCAUCAGGAGUCCUGAUUCUCAGGCCCCCUGGCGGGGCAGGGGUGGGGGAGUGAUUAAACAGCCCUGUGGGCAGCUGGCUAGAGGUGUGUGCCAGGGUAACAGCGGAAGUCCCCGGAGCAAGCCCAGGGAGUCCUCUCUUCAGGAAGAACAUGGAGCUGAAAGUGGCACUUCUCACUGGCUCCCACGGCCACUGCCUGACCCGAAAGCCAAGGCAGAGUCUAGUCACGGCAGCCCAGACAGCAGGGCCCGGGCAAGGGACAGAGUUGCAGAGAUUUGCGGGCAAGCACAGCCUCACAAGCUGGCGAGCUGAAGCAGCUAUUGGCUCCAGGAGACUUAGGAAAAGUUACCGGGGUGGCACACAGGCUGGGAGAAACGCGGAACAGCCUGGCCUCCUGAUGGCAGGAUAAUGGCCAAGGCACUGCCUUUAAUGUGGCUCCUUUCAGUGAGACCCCACCCCCACCCCCACCCCUAGACUCCCGAGUCUCCCCCAUUCAAGCUUUACCUUCCAGGGAGGGCACAUCUGACUGGCCAGCUAGGUCAAGGAAGCCUCGCCAGGGAAGCCUGUCUGCUGGCCUGGCUUCUUGGAGGGGAGGAGCCCAGCAGCUUCCAGUUUGCAUGGCUCCUCCUGCACCCAGUAAAAUAGGCCCCCAGGCAGCGUGCAGGGCUUGCCUUACAAACAGCAGUUGAGGAAGAUUCAGCACUUACAAGGCCAGGUUUUGAGCUGAUCAAGAAUAGGCGUCAUCUGAGGCUAGGCCUGGGGCUCCUGAGCCAGGAAAGGCAGGUGCCUCCAGAAGAUCUGUGUUUGGCUGCUGGCGUCCUGGUCAGACCAGUCAUCACACUAGUUCCUCAGGGAGGAGGGUGGAGGCACCACAGGCCUUCUCUGUGCAUUGCCUUUCAAAGGCUGGGCUUGUCUUCUCAACAAGUCCCUUUGUUGUAUUUCUGAGGUCUAGCAAGAAAGGACCCAUUUAGUAACAAGAAUGACAGUGAAAGUGAUACCUAACAUUUAGGAAGUGCUCACCACGGGGCGGGCACGACCCGUGAAGUGGGCAGCAUCAUCCCUAUUUAUAGAUCAGAAAACGGAAGGACGCGGAGGCCACUGGCUGGCCCUGUCUUCACAGCCAGGAAGAGCGGAGGCAGAUGUGAAGCCCAUCUCUCUAACUCCAGGGCCUGGGCCCUUGGCCCCUGAGCAGGCCCUGCUCCUAUACACAGGCUGACCGGUUGUCCUGGCACAACUAUUAACACUCACAAAAGCGAUUGUUAAUAUUCAGUCACACAAAAAAUUAUUCACUUACGAAAGUGUUUAAAUAUCACUGGUUUGGGUGAUAAAUUUUAAGGAAACUAGCUGGGUAGAACCAAGAUUAUCAUAGCAAGAGGCUGAUGGGCAGUCUUUGGAAAACCCAGUCCACAGCUGCCCUCCCUGUCCCAGAACUAUGGCUCCCAGAGCUCAUUCUGACAGGGGGCCCAUAUGAUGUUAGUGACAGCACCCUCACUGCCCCCUGGGCACUUGGGCACUUUGCAAGGAAGCCUUCUGAGAUUUCCAUACCCCAAGGCUCUUGGUUUAUAUUUGGACAAAGAGCUCAGCUUUCUCCUUGUUCCCACCCCCCUUACAUCUACUGAGAGGGUCUUUUCCCUGUUUUCAUACAUUACCUGGCUGGGAAAGCAGCUAUGCAUCCCCUGCCCCAGGUGUCCUCCCCAAGAGUGGAUACUGAAGCUUAGGGCUUUUGAAUCUUGUUCAUACUGGCAGGUGAAUCCUGGGAGCAGAGGUGUGGGAUCUCCACUUGGACUGGGCUGUCCCAGAGGGGUGCAGAGGAAGAGGAUGAUAUUGGGUGCCAUCUGGUUGGGCACAGAGGAAUCAAAAGUGAAUGAGACAGUGCUUUCUUCCAAGGUUAAGGGCAACAAAAUCAGCCCUACAGUUAGUAAGUAAAGUGGUAGGGACAAAGUGCAACUCAAGCACAAAAGAGGACAUGAACAAACAAUGUGUAUCAGUCACCCAUUGUCACAAGAAUGCUGCAUAACAAAUGGUCCCAUAAUUCAACAGCUUCCUGUUAUAAGCAUUUAUUUCUGGCUCACCUGUCUGCACACCGAUUGGGGCAGCCCCGUUCAUCUCAGCUGGGCCUGGCUAGACUGGUUCUCGGGGGUGGGUUAGGCUGAAGUGUCCCCUGCCUCUCUUUCUCCUGGAACCUCUGGGUCUCACAAGGGAAGAUGUGCUCAUGGCAAUGGCAGAAUUGUGAGUGGGGGGACUAAGCCGCCAGCCCAUGCCAAGGCUGUGCUCCAGGUCUUGUCCUCCAACACGUCACCAGCUGAAGCAAGUCACACGGCAGAGCCCAAGAGCAAAGGGGCCUGGAGGUAAACAAUUCCCCAAGUACAAGGGCAGAGAAGUACAUAUUUGCUAAGCCAUAACACAGACCUCACAAAAGGCUUCACAGAGGAGGUGUCAUUUGACCUAGGCCUUAAAGGAGAAGUUGUACAUUUCCAAGUAAAGAUGGGAUGGGCCAUUGCUGUCAAAGGGAUGACAUGUAUGUGGGGAGGGGGGUUGGGGGGCUGUUAGGGUAGUGGUGGUAGCCUGGUCAUAGAGGCCCCCUGAGCCAGAAAUCAGCUGUGUCCUUUCUUUGAACACAAUAUUCUCCAGCCCCCUUUCCCCAGUCAUUUUCUUUAUUUUCAAAUUCUAAGACUUCAACUAUGUGCUAACAAAUACGAGCUGAAGACGCAGUUUUCAGCAAGGAGAUGUACUGGAACGUGUUAGUGCUGCUUCCUGCGCUGGGGAUUCAUGCCAGUUUCCCUGGGCCUAAAUCAGCCAAUUUUAUAGCCUGCCCACCCCCUUUUUUGGAGUUGAGGUCAUCAACUUUGCUCCAAGAAACCACGGCCCUUGGCUGUGACCACCACAGCCCUUCCUGAAUAGAGUACCUGGGAACAAGGUCAAGGCAGACAUAAGGUGAAUCAAAACAAAGAACUCAGGGAGUUCCCAUUGUGGCUCAGCGGAAAUGACUCUGACUAGGAACCAUGACGUUGUGGGUUCGAUCCCUGUUCUCACUCAGUGGGUUAAGGAUUCGGCAUUGCCAUGAGCUGUGGUGUAGGUCGCAGAUGCGGCUCGGAUCCUGUAUUGCUGUGGUGUAGGCUGGUGGCUACAGCUCCGAUUGGACCCCUAGCCUGGGAGCCUCCAUAUGCCAAGGGUGUGGCCCUAAAAAGCAAAAUAAAUAAAUAAAUACAUAAAGAGAAAGAACUCAGGAAUGGAGGACUGGGAGACUCUCUAAAAGGACUGGCAGGGAGCAGGGACCCACGCAUACACAGAAAGGGGGCCAAACAAUGGUGGGAAGGAUGGUUACAGGACAGGAUGCAAGUAGUACAAACCUUGACAAUGUAAAAAUAAGAACUCACAGCAUUUGGGAGGGGGGAGGAGAUAGGAAGUGGGUGAGCUCAUUUCCUCAUCCCGAAAUCACAGGCUGUCAAGAGAUGCCAUCUACAGCUGAAACAUAUUUAAAGCAUACGUUCCAUCUCUGGAUAGUUUUCUUUCCUUUUAAUUAUUUGCAAUUUCUUUAGUUCCAUUUAGGCUUCUUCUUUUUGUUACAGACUCUUUUCCAAAAAGAGCAUGUACUGGGAGUUCCCUGUUGUGUCUCAGUGGUAACGAACCCGACUAGCAUACAGGAGGAUGCGGGUUCCAUCCCUUGUCUUGCUCAGGGGGUUAAGGAUCCAGUGCUGCCAUGAGCUGUGGUGUAGGUCACAGAUGAGGCUUGGAUUCAGGGUUUCUGUGGCUGUGGUGUAGGCUGGCAGCUGCAUCUCCAAUUGGACUCCUAGCCUGGGAACUUCCGUAUACCGCAGGUGUGGCC
rnacentral:lncRNA from 1 species